UUCCUUACCUGGCAGGGGAUAUACCAUGAUCACGAAGGUGGUUUUCCCAGGUUGAGGCUUAUCCAUUGCACUCCGGAUGUGCUGACCCCUGCGAUUUCCCCAAAUGUAAAAACAAAACAAAACAAAAUAAAACCCAAAAAAUGACUUUCCUCAUUUUUUUC